GACCAGAGGAAAUGAGAGACAAAUUCUGGUGCCAGUAACAAGAUGCAGAUUAUUUGAUUUAAGAAGCAAGCAUUUUACACAAUCUAACACCUGAAGAAAUAUGAGCUUCCUUUCUGUCUCUCAUUUUUGAAAGAAACCUUGUAUUAUGGGACCACCAAACCUUACUGAAGAAAACUUUACUUCACCUGUGAUACCUGGCCAUCCUCAGAACUGAGAUGGAUGGACAGCAGAACCAGGAUGACCUGAUGAAAGCAUUCCUGAGAUGAUGUUCCCAUAUCGCCUCUGUGCAUUAAAAUCAAAUGCAGAAGUCCCUGCUCGCCUCCACCCGCACCCUUCAGUGCAUUCUUCUCCUGGAAAUCACUCACUGCUCUCUUGCAGUGUACCAAUAAACUACUUUUCUAUA